GCCGCGCCCGUGACGCGCGCUGGCGGCGGCGCACACGCGCGCGCUCGCUCGCCUGUGAGCGCGCCGCCGCCCCGCCCGCGGCCGACGAGACCGCUCAUUCGAUGUGUUUUGUGCCGUAUCGCGCGCUGCCCGCCCCGGGAGCUCCCGGAGCCGCGCGGCGCCACCCUACCCCGCCUACGUGAUCGUUCCGUGUAGAUCCUCGCUUCCUCGCCGACGACCACCCGUUAUAAAAGCAUCUAAAAUAUUUAUAUGUAUAUAGUAGAUAAUAAAAUAUUAAAAUGUGUGCCGCCGUCAUGAGAUGACGGACGGCGUGAGGUAAUGUGUCAUUAUCGCUUUAUUUUUAAAUUCUAACUUCAGCCAAUAAAUAAUGUGACAUGUGAGAAUUUAUUAUUAUAUUUGUUUCUUAAAUAACGUACUAUCUCUAAACUGCAUCUCAUACGGCCUAGUACCGCUACACCGAUGACUAUAUUGCAUUCUUAAAUUUGUAUUUUUUUAGGAAAUACGUUGUGUGACUGCCAUUUUAAUGUGAAAUGUAUUUUAGGAAAUGUGACAUACAUUCACACAAAUCUGUAAAUUUUCACACAUCUUCAAAUCUAGUCUAUGCUUUUAACUUUUCAUUUCUUUUACUGUGAAAUUUAAAAAUAAAUUUACUAAUAAGCAAAUUUAUUCAUAGUGAUAUAAAGUAUACUUCCAAUAUAUAUUGUAUAUUAUUAGUCUUCUUGGCUCCGUGUUUUCCAUACAUUUGAUAUUUUUAUAAGAAAACCGAUCAGUCUGUUGCAAAUUUUUAUCAUAUUUAAGUAUAGCAAGUUAACAACCAAGGUGCUCUAAUAUAAUUGUUCUGUUGAGAGGGACAAGGCUCCUCUUUCUGCAACGAGUUUCCAGUGUGCGUGCUGUGAUCACUUAUGCGAAUGAGACUGAUUUUAAAAAAAGAUAUGCCUUGUGUCUACAUAAUUGUUUCUAUAUCCUAUCUUCAUUUAUUUUUAAAAUGUUUAAAUAUUUUAAUUAUACCUAGUGCAAGAUGAAAUCUGAGAAAGGUGUUUUGAGUCCUUCAACAAGCGACGAGUUGGCGCCGUCGGUGUUUAUAAAAAAUGACGCCAUUUUGUAUUCUGCCAAUACUGUGUAACCAUAUAAUGUACCUUCCAAGUUUUUAUUGAUGAUGGUAGUUGUUUUUUAUUAUUGUAGAACAUGACUUUUAAUUGAUGACAUUAUGUAAUAUAGAAUUAUUGUUUAUGAAUUUAGAGAUUAUAAAUUUAUUGAGAUUGUUACCACCCGGUGUAUAUCAAUAUGGAAUUGUCAAAUUUAAUCCUAUUUCUAAGAAAUAACUGUGUCCCAAAAAAAAAAUACAAAAAAAAAAUACAUAUAGAAUGAUCCCAUAUUGGUGUUUGUUACUUUAAUUAAUCGAUAUAUUAGAAAAAUAACUGACAUCAGUCUAAUUAUAUUUUUAAAUUAAUUAGUUUCUCUAUAGUUAAGCAGAGUAUCUUUUAAUUAUAUUAAAUUAUACGAAUUAUAGUAGAAAGUGCAUAUUGGAUUUACAUUGGUGUUCUAAGUGUCAUUAUUCACGUAUAAAUGUUUAAAAAUUUUGUGAAGUAAUGUCAUAUUAAUGUAAUGGUAACAUUAAUUGUUGUUAUCUUGUAAGCCUUAUCGCAUUCAAUGUCUGCUAGUUUGAACCAUCAAUGUUUAUAUUUUGUCAAGGACAUAAAGCUUAUUUAAUGCACGAAUUUAAGCUUAAAUAAUGUUGUUACUACUAAUAUUCUGUGAUCGCCGUAUUCAGUUUAUAUAUAAAUAUAUGCUUAUACGUACCUAUAUAUAUUAUUAUAAUCAUACACAUUCCUAGAUUUGUUUUUUUUAAAGCAUAAUUACGUAAAUAGUCAUUAUUUCGUUUAGGCGGAAAAAGUAACGCUCUAACGCAUGUAAAUGGAAUAUAUAAUGCUGUAAGCACAGCUUACGGCAUGCGGAAGGACUGGUUAAUUUUUGAAAGUUUUAUAAUACUAAUGUGCAAUUUAUUUAUUUAAUGGCUUAAUAUAAUAUUUAUUUUUUAGAAACUAUAUAAAUAUUAGCUCGGUGUAAAUGAAGGAAUCGAUGUUCCUAAAUGUGUUAAACGUUUUUUGUACGAUACAUCAAUUGCAAGCAAAAUUGUGUAUUACAGUAAAGCAUUCCAACUUUGUAUUCCACUUUGUAAAUAGGCCUAAUGAACUCUUAUGACUUAAUAUUGCUUUAAUGUGGGAAUGUACAUAAAACUCGUGUUUAUGAGCUUCUUAAAAGAGGCACUGAAUCGUAUGCCAAUGGAAAUUAUUACAGUGUUGAGACUAAACGUUUUAAAAUAAUACAUAUGAUUAAUGGGGAUAACAUCUCAUAUUGUAUUUGUGUUUGAAUAAGUAACGUAUAACGAAAUGUAUAUGUUUAUAAUAUAAUAUUUGAUGAUGUUAUGUAUACAAUUUAUUAAACAUGGAUAUAUCAAUAAAAUUAUAUUUUGUGUACGGUGAAAGUUUUAAUUUCUUUAACAAACCACUUCAACUUAUAUAAAAUUCUGCAACACAAUAAGUUGUCUAUUUCUUAAGAGCCAUUUCACAAAAAUCGAUAAUCUGCGAAAUUGUAAUAUUUUUACGUCGUUAAUCUCAGUAUUGGAUGCAAUAAUGUAAUUUAUAUUUUUGAAAUAUAAUGAGCAACCUUUGUUGUAAAAAGAUAAUGGAUCAGAAUUUUGAUUUAUAUUGUGUAUACAAAAUUAUUAACCUUUUCAUCAGCCGCCUCCCUGGGUAAACGGUCGAAAUGUUACCUUAAAACUGUAUAAAAAAAUAUGGUCAUACGUGGAAUGUUUUUGUUGAUACAUAAUGCAGUUUUUUUUUCAUUUGUAUAUCUGUUAAUCCGUAAUAAAAUUUUAAAUUUACAAAUAUUUUCCAAAUAAAUACAAUUUUAACCCAUUCGCUGCGGCGGACGCCUAUCGGCGUUUUUUGAUUUAACAUUGAGGUGCGAAGGACGCCCAUCGGCGUUUUUUUUCAAUUCCUUUUAUUUUGGCGAAAACAAGUCACAAAAAAUUAUACUUGCAAUAUAGGCACAUUUUUUUAAAAAUACAACAAGGUACUGCUCGCCGUUUCCGAAUAUUUGUUUGAAAAAUAACUUUUUGAAAAAUGCGUAUUCCAUCCUAGGUGCGAAAGA
rnacentral:misc_RNA from 1 species